CAAAGUACCGUGAGGGAAAGUUGAAAAGAACUUUGAAGAGAGAGUUCAAAAGGGCGUGAAACCGCUUAGAAUAAAACGGACGGAGCCGUCUGAGGCCCACCGGAAUCAGUCGAAUCGACGCGUGAAGGCGAGUCYGACGCGAAUAAUGGAACGAAAGUCCAGUCGGCUCGUAGGAUCGAGUAGCGCUCGUUCGAUGCAUUUCCGGAGGGUAAGCGCCGUGACCGAUGCGAGGCUAGCGAAACUGUCGGAUUGAGGUCGAGCUCGUUCGCGCGAGUCUCGUAACCAGUCCUUCGGUCGUAAUAGAAAUCGUUAGACCGCUCGAGCAUCGAGUAAAUAUAGAAUUCGAAUGUCGGCGAUCGUUUGCUCGCCUAAUACGACGGACGUACGUUCGAUCGAUCGUCACCUGCUCGCAGGUUUCGGUCCGUAUCCAGCGCGUAUCCGAAGUCGUAGGCGACGUUUCGACAUUCGGGUGUCUACGGCGUCCGAGUCGGUCGCCCGUCCGACCCGUCUUGAAACACGGACCAAGGAGUCUAACGUAAGCGCGAGCUAAUGGGUGGAAAACCCAUAAGCGAAAUAAAAGUAAAAGUCGUCUCGGACGACCGAGGUACGAUCCCGCAGGACGAAUAAUCCUCGGGCGCAGUACCGUCCCGUCCCGACCGCUCGUCGGUAGGGCGGAGACAGAGUGCUUAUGUUGGGACCCGAAAGAUGGUGAACUAUGCCUGAGCAGAGCGAAGCCAGAGGAAACUCUGGUGGAGGUUCGUAGCGGUUCUGACGUGCAAAUCGAUCGUCAGACUUGGGUAUAGGGGCGAAAGACUAAUCGAACCAUCUAGUAGCUGGUUC
rnacentral:rRNA from 1 species